UUGCUCAGUAUAGCUUAGCAGACAUACACUAAGCAAAUAUUAGCAUGGCCCCUGCACAAGGAUGACAUGCAAAUCCACCCAGUGUUCCCUAUCUUU
rnacentral:snRNA from 1 species